rnacentral:rRNA from 1 species
CAAUAGCGUAUAUUAAAGUUGUUGCAGUUAAAAAGCUCGUAGUCGGAUUUCUGGCUCGGAAGGGCGGUCCGUUUGGCCUAGCCAAAUGUGAACUAGCAUUUUCCAGCCAUCCUCGUGGAGAGCUGUCAUGUGGCAGCCGUCACUGGCAUGCGAUCCACGUCCUUUACUGUGAACAAAUUAGAGUGUUCAAAGCAGGCUUACGCCACUGAAUACAUUAGCAUGGAAUAAUCCUAUAGGACUUUGGUGAUUCUAUUGUUGGUUACGCACCAGAGUAAUGAUUAAUAGGGAUAGUUGGGGGUAUUCGUAUUCAAUUGUCAGAGGUGAAAUUCUUGGAUUUAUGGAAGACGAACAACUGCGAAAGCAUUUACCAAGGAUGUUUUCAUUGA